CCUUGGAACAUGAAAUACCUGUACCUGAUAGCGAAGGUAAUGUCAGUUUUAGCUUUGCUUCAUACACCUUCUGCUCAAUACUCGCGUGGUUCAGCUGAGUGGGUGCCUGACACCAAUACUCCACCUCUCAAAUGUGAAGAUCUUCGGAACCAAACCCUGCCAGUCAAUAAGAUUAUUGAUCCUGAACAAGGUGAUAUCUUGCAGUUCAAGUACGAAUUACCCCUGAGUAGAUACAGUGAAGUUUCAGACUGCUUUGAAAAUUUGGAAUUGGGCGUCAGCCAUGGGGCUCCAUAUCUGCUUAAUUUCUGGAAUUGGGUGAAGAUCAAGAUAGAUGGAGCUGAAGAUUUGAAGCUCACACUGAUUAACGGAACAGGUAGAGAAUCUGAAUCAAAGCAACGAGAUAAAAUACGUUUCUCAGAUGACUCUAUCAUCUCUAUGUACCUAGAACUACAUUACGUAGUAAAGGAUACAUCUCUAACGUACACACUGAAAUUUCUCUCCAACACAACGAUCCAACUCAAUGUCACGGCAUGGUACACUAGAAACCCAACCUUGUGGGAGGAACAGUCACUGACAUUGGAGGUUCCUAAUCUGAAUAGGACGGCUGGAGUUAGGUUUAGGAGUCUAAGUGAGCAAACUAUAACUGAGGAUUGGGACAGGGAGUGUAUGGAAAGACCCCAGUUAAAACAGAUAUGUUAUGGUAACAGUGGGGAAGUAGUGGAAAAGAAGAAAGUGAAAAAGAAGAAAGGACCAGGUGUCUGGGUUAUUGUAACUAUCAUUGCUUUAGUUGUGGUUGGAGUUGUGGUAUUGGUAGUGCUACAUCGGAUUGGUCACUUAAAGGGAGUGGAUACUUUCAGGCAGUGGACACAGAAGCAGUACAAUAUUAUUCUAAACAAUUCUGAUUCCUGAUUACCGGACUUUUUAGUCCUUCACAGCAUAGAUACUCCAUUAAAUUCAAUAGGUUUUAAUUGUGUUCAGCUACAAAUUUAGUUACAAAAGACUUGACUGAACUGAUAUGAGACAUAUUGCCUCGAACUGUAUGUUUUACAGAAUUUAUUUUAGUUGUAACAUACAAUUUUUUUAAUUUUUUAAAUUUUUUAGGUUUUUGAGUUAUCAUGUUAUUUGCCAUUCAAGUUUUGUUUG